GAUCCUGGCUCAGAGCGAACGCUGGCGGCGUGCUUAACACAUGCAAGUCGAGUGCGCAGUUCUCUGUAGCAAUACAGGGGAUGGGCGCACGGCGCACGGGUGCGUAACACGUGGGCAAUCUGCCCUCGGAUGGGGGAUAACUCGUCGAAAGGCGAGCUAAUACCGCAUGACAUUCCGAAGACUCCGGUCUUUGGACUCAAAGGCCGCAAGGCCGUCUGAGGAGGAGCCCGCGCCCGAUUAGCUAGUUGGUGAGGUAACGGCUCACCAAGGCUUUGAUCGGUAGCCGGUCUGAGAGGAUGGCCGGCCACACUGGAACUGAGACACGGUCCAGACUCCUACGGGAGGCAGCAGUGGGGAAUAUUGCGCAAUGGGCGAAAGCCUGACGCAGCGACGCCGCGUGGGGGAUGAAGCUUCUCGGAGUGUAAACCCCUUUCGACCCGGACGAAUGACCCGCAAGGGUUUGACGGUACGGGUAUAAGAAGCCCCGGCUAA
rnacentral:rRNA from 1 species